rnacentral:rRNA from 1 species
AGUGAACGCUGGCGGUAGGCCUAACACAUGCAAGUCGAACGGCAGCACAGUAAGAGCUUGCUCUUACGGGUGGCGAGUGGCGGACGGGUGAGGAAUACAUCGGAAUCUACUUUUUCGUGGGGGAUAACGUAGGGAAACUUACGCUAAUACCGCAUACGACCUACGGGUGAAAGCAGGGGAUCUUCGGACCUUGCGCGAUUGAAUGAGCCGAUGUCGGAUUAGCUAGUUGGCGGGGUAAAGGCCCACCAAGGCGACGAUCCGUAGCUGGUCUGAGAGGAUGACGCCCCCACCGGGACUUGACAACCGGCCCAACCCCCUACGGGAGGCCCGAGUGGGGAAUUUUGGACAAUGGGCGCAAGCCUACCCCAGCCAUCCCGGGUGGGUGAAGAAGGCCUUCGGGUUGUAAAGCCCUUUUUUUGGGAAAAAAAAGCAGCAGGUUAACACCCCGCUUUUCUGACGGUCCCCAAAAAAGAAGCACCGGCUAACUUCUU